CUCUCUCUCUCUCUCUCUCUCUCUUUCUCUGUAGCCUUUUUCAUGCUUCUCAAAACCCAGAGAGAGCACCGUAAGCGAAGAAACGCCAUGGAAAUGGGAAGAGGCGAGGUGAUAAUGGUGAAGAGAGAGAAAGAGGAAGGAGAGGAGGAGGGGGAGGGGGAGGGGGAGGGAGAGGUGCUUCGUCCUAAGCCAAUGGCGGGGUUGGGCGAGGCGGGUCCAGCGCCGUUCCUGAAGAAGACGUUCGACAUGGUGGAGGAUCCCCGCACCGACGCGGUGGUGUCGUGGAGCCGAGCGCGUAACAGCUUCAUCGUGUGGGAUUCGCACGAGUUCGCCUCUUCGAUCCUCCCCAAGUAUUUUAAGCACAACAACUUCUCCAGCUUCGUUCGUCAGCUCAAUACCUAUGGUUUCCGAAAGGUUGAUCCCAAUCGAUGGGAAUUUGCGAACGAAGGAUUCUUAGGAGGUCAGAAGCACCUAUUGAAGAAUAUCAAGAGGCGGCGCAACGCAGGCCUGCAGCCAGACGAGAACCGACUGGCAGGACCAUGUGUCGAGUUGUGCCACUUUGGGAUCAAAACUGAAGAAAGCCAGGUGAAGAGGGACCGAAACAUUCUAAUGGCCGAAGUCAUGAAACUCCGGCGGCAACACCAGAAUGCAAAAGCUCAGCUCAUUGCCAUGGAGGAAAGGGUUAAAAGCACUGAAAGAAAGCAGCAGCAAAUUAUGGCUUUUCUCGCUGGAGUCCUUAAAAAUCCAAUUGUUGCUCACAGACUCUUACUUCACUAUAAACACAAGAAGCAACUAGAAGAUGUCGGAAAGAGACAGCGGCUUAUGGCAAAUAUGAAUCCAUAUUCAGAUAAUAUGAAAUUUAGGGAGGAAGUGAGAGUUAAGUCGGAGGGGGAGAGUUUCCUCUCACUUGAGAACAGUGAAACAAGUUGUUUGUGCAGCAGAGGCGAACAAGAAGAGGUGAUAACUGAAUCGAAUGAUUACAACUUGGACAAAAUCAGCGAAGUGGUGUGGGAAGAACUAUUGAAUGUGGAUUUGACUUCAGGAAGUGAAAUGGUGCAUGGUGAUCAAGUUGAGAUGGAUCUUGGAGUCGACGAUUUGGGCGGGAAGCCGUGCGGGUGGAUUGGUGAUGCCCAGAAUUUGGUGCAGCAAAUGGAUUAUUUGGAUUCAAAGCAUUAAAAAAUUGGAUUAUGUAAGUGCUGUUUUAGUCUUUGAACUCUUCGCCGAGCGCUGUUUUAGUCUUUGAACUCUUCGCUAAGCUUCACUUUAGUCCUUUGAUUUUUUUUUCUUUAAUGGAAGUACUUGACUGCUUUGUCUCAUCUACGUAUUUUAUUAUAGCCCUUCCUGGUAACUUUUGUUUGUUGGACUGAUUGAAAUGCCAACAUAAUUACACUGUAAGAAGAAGGGGGGAAAAAAUUAAGAAGGCAACAUGUUAGUCAUAAACAAACCAAAUAGGCAUUUCCAUGUGUCGCUUUAACAAGAGUUGAUGGGAAGGACUAGAAAUAAACAGUUAUGUGAGUUCAAGGUGUCAAGUGCUUGAUUCACAGAUUGAACUGAUGUGGCAUUUAGCUAAGAGUUGAAGGACAAACUCUGCAGUUUUUCCGACUUUGGAUCGUAGAAACUGUUUUUGUUCUUCCACAUUAUUGACUUAUUGUCUAGGCCAAACUCAUCUCCAAGAGUAAAUAACAACCAAACAUCAGAACAUUUUAGACAUAUUGUUACAGUAGCUUAUGUUUCAUAUACUGUGUUGCUUUUUCUUUUUUCUUCGAGAAGAUAAAUAUUUCAUCUGGAGUAGUUGAUUUACCUGUUGGUGGUCCUUGGGUUCAUACAGAGUGAAAUCAGCAACAUAUUUAAUCUCUCUCUUUUGUUCAUACUAGAAGGGAGAGAAAAACCUAUGCUUAACUUUUGUUAAUAUUGAAGAAUGAAUUUGUACCA